CACAAGGGUUUGGUCCUGGCCCUGUGAUCAAUUAUUACUUAAACUACACAUGCAAGUCUCCGCACCCCUGUGAAAAAGCCCAUUGAUCCUGAUGGAUCGAGGGAGCGGGUAUCAGGCACGACCAUCAGCCCAAGACACCUAGCCACGCCACACCCACAAGGGAUUACAGCAGUGACUAAUAUUGAACAUUAACGACAGCUUGAUUCAGUUAUAGUAAGCAGAGCCGGCAAAUUUGGUGCCAGCCGCCGCGGAUACACCGGGGACUCAAAUUGAUCACCACCGACGUAAAGCGUGAUUAAAGACAUUUUACAAAUAGAGCUGAAUCUAGAUUAGACCGUGAAACACUUAUCUGAGAGAAAUGCACAACGAAAGUCGCUCUACUUAUAUCAACUUGAACACACGAAAGCAGAAAUACAAACUGGGAUUAGAUACCCCACUAUGCCUGAUCGUAAACUUUAACUUACACCUUAAUCGUCAGGGGAUUACAAGCUAAGCUUAAAACCCAAAGGACUUGACGGUACCCCAUAUCCCCCUAGAGGAGCCUGUCCUGUAAUCGAUAAUCCCCGCUUAACCUUACCGCAUCUGGCUUAUCAGCCUGUAUACUUCCGUCGUAAGCCCACCGCAUGAACGAAACCUAGUCGGCCCAAUGUCCACACAUAAAUGUGUUUAAAUAACAAUACGUCAGGUCAAGGUGCAGCUAAUGAUGUGGGAGAGAUGGGCUACACUUUUUAACCUAAAAGAUACGGAAAGCAAAAUGAAACUAUGUUAGAAGGUGGAUCUAGAAGUAAAAGAGAGAUAUGAGGUCUCUUUGAAUUCGGGCACUGGGGUGUGUACACACCGCCCGUCACCCUCUUCAAAAUACUUCUAUUAGUUCUUAACUAACAAUUAAAAUAGAGAAGAGGUAAGUC
rnacentral:ncRNA from 1 species